rnacentral:tRNA from 1 species
GACUUAAUGGUAGAACACUUGCUUAGCAUGCAAGAUGCCCUGGGUUCAAUCCCCAGUAUAAUCA